rnacentral:rRNA from 1 species
AAACUCAAAUGAAUUGACGGGGGCCCGCACAAGCGGUGGAGCAUGUGGUUUAAUUCGAUGCAACGCGAAGAACCUUACCUGGACUUGACAUAGUGAGAACGCUGAAGAGAUUUAGCGGUGCCGCAAGGAGCUCACAUACAGGUGCUGCAUGGCUGUCGUCAGCUCGUGUCGUGAGAUGUUGGGUUAGGUCCCGCAACGAGCGCAACCCUUGUUCUUUGUUGCCAGCACGUAAAGGUGGGAACUCAAAGAAGACUGCCGGUGACAAACCGGAGGAAGGCAGGGAUGACGUCAAGUCAUCAUGGCCCUUACGUUCAGGGCUACACACGUGCUACAAUGGGUUGUACAGAGGGAAGCGAAGCCUCGAGNAGGAGCGGAACCCAGAAAGCAACUCGUAGUCCGGAUUGGAGUCUGCAACUCGACUCCAUGAAGUCGGNAUAAGNAGUAAUCGCGAAUCAGAAUGUCGCGGUGAAUACGUUCNCGGGCCUUGUACACACCGCCCGU